rnacentral:piRNA from 1 species
UCCCCCAGAGUGCUAUCCACCAAUC